ACCCGAGGCCAUGUUGCCUGAAGCAGUGGCCAGGUCAAAUGGCAUAAGCUAAAUAGAUUUAAGCUGUGUCAGUAAUUGGAUGGGAGAUCUCCAGGGAAAAUCCAGUGGUGCUGGUA
rnacentral:rRNA from 1 species